rnacentral:misc_RNA from 1 species
GGAAGUAAAAGUCUUAACAAGGUUUCCGUAGGUGAACCUGCGGAAGGAUCAUUAUCGUAAAACCGAGGUGCGAGGGCUGUCGCUGACCUUUUCGGUCGUGCACGCCUGAGCGCUCUCACACAAUCCAUCUCACCCCUUGUGCACCGCCGCGUGGGUCCCUUUCUGGCUCGUCCGGAGGGGGGCUCGCGUUUUCACACAAACUUGAAGUAGUGUAGAAUGUCCUUUUUUUGCGAUAACACGCAAUCAAUACAACUUUCAACAACGGAUCUCUUGGCUCUC